GGAAAUUUGAGAGGAGCUGUCCUUAGUACGAGAGGACCGGGAUGGACGUACCGCUGGUGUACCAGUUGUUCCGCCAGGAGCACGGCUGGAUAGCUACGUACGGAAGGGAUAAGCGCUGAAAGCAUCUAAGCGUGAAGCCCCCCUCAAGAUGAGAUUUCCCAGUACGUAAGACCCCUUGAAGACGACGAGGUAGAUAGGUUCGGGGUGGAAGCGCGGCAACGUGUGGAGCUGACGAAUACUAAUCGGUCGAGGGCUUAACUAACUACCCAAG
rnacentral:rRNA from 1 species